rnacentral:rRNA from 1 species
GACGUAGGUGGCGAACGUUAUCCGGAAUUAUUGGGCGUAAAGGGUGCGUAGAUGGCAUAAUAAGUUAGUGGUGGUAAAACGAGGCCUAACCUCGUGGAAGUCGCUAAUACUGUUAGGCUUGAGUGCAGAAGAGGUUAACGGAACUCCCUGUAGAGCGGUAAAAUGUAUAGAUAUGGGGAAGAACACCAAUAACAGCGAAGGCAGUUAACUAUUCUGUUACUGACAUUGAGGCACGAAAGCGUGGGGAGCAAAAAGG